UGUUAAAAAAUUCAUCUAUUUCUAUUGUUAAAAACUGGCGUGGUUGAUGAAAUAACUUGACAGUUACACUUGGCAUGCCACGUGUGCCUUUUGCUAUCAUAUAGGGACCAGUUUUUAACAAUAGAAAUUAAUGUAAUUUAUAACA
rfam:Gossypium hirsutum cultivar TM-1 unplaced genomic scaffold scaffold477.1, whole genome shotgun sequence